rnacentral:rRNA from 1 species
AUGAACGCUAGCUACAGGCUUAACACAUGCAAGUCGAGGGGAAACGACAUCGAAAGCUUGCUUUUGAUGGGCGUCGACCGGCGCACGGGUGAGUAACGCGUAUCCAACCUGCCCACCACUUGGGGAUAACCUUGCGAAAGUAAGACUAAUACCCAAUGACGUCUCUAGAAGACAUCUGAAGGAGAUUAAAGAUUUAUCGGUGAUGGAUGGGGAUGCGUCUGAUUAGCUUGUUGGCGGGGUAACGGCCCACCAAGGCUACGAUCAGUAGGGGUUCUGAGAGGAAGGUCCCCCACAUUGGAACUGAGACACGGUCCAAACUCCUACGGGAGGCAGCAGUGAGGAAUAUUGGUCUAUGGGCGAGAGCCUGAACCAGCCAAGUAGCGUGCAGGAUGACGGCCCUAUGGGUUGUAAACUGCUUUUAUAAGGGAAUAAAGUGAGCCUCGUGAGGCUUUUUGCAUGUACCUUAUGAAUAAGGACCGGCUAAUUCCGUGCCAGCAGCCGCGGUAAUACGGAAGGUCCGGGCGUUAUCCGGAUUUAUUGGGUUUAAAGGGAGCGUAGGCCGGAGAUUAAGCGUGUUGUGAAAUGUAGACGCUCAACGUCUGCACUGCAGCGCGAACUGGUUUCCUUGAGUACGCACAAAGUGGGCGGAAUUCGUGGUGUAGCGGUGAAAUGCUUAGAUAUCACGAAGAACUCCGAUUGCGAAGGCAGCUCACUGGAGCGCAACUGACGCUGAAGCUCGAAAGUGCGGGUAUCGAACAGGAUUAGAUACCCUGGUAGUCCGCACGGUAAACGAUGGAUGCCCGCUGUUGGUCUGAAUAGGUCAGCGGCCAAGCGAAAGCAUUAAGCAUCCCACCUGGGGAGUACGCCGGCAACGGUGAAACUCAAAGGAAUUGACGGAAGGGAGG